rnacentral:rRNA from 1 species
CAUGAAGCUGGAAUCGCUAGUAAUCGCAGAUCAGAAUGCUGCGGUGAAUACGUUCCCGGGUCUUGUACACACCGCCCGUCACACCAUGGGAGUCGGAAAUGCCCGAAGUCGGUGACCCAACCGUUUACGGAGGGAGCUGCCGAAGGCAGGUCUGGUGACUGGGGUGAAGUCGUAACAAGGUAGC